UUUCAGAACACUUGUGAAGGUAAAGCUUGAGUUCGAGGUCAUUUACGUCCAAGGGCAGAUCAAACGCGAGUUAAAGAUGGAGUCUAAGAGUUGUUUUAAACAGGACGAUUAAAAUUCAUAAGAAGAAAAAAUAGUGAUCAAAAUGACUAACGCGGAAACGUUGAUCCGUAAAGGGAAGUCAGGGGCUGCAGCGUUUGUCCAGGCUGAGUGCAUGGCAAACAAGGCAGCAGGAACUAGUUCAGGACUUCCUUCGGCGGUAACUCAACCUCCGGCCCAUCUCCAGGCACUGCUAGACUACCUACUCCAUCCUUCUAACGCUAUAGGAGAUAGUGAGACGAUAGAUUGGUGUAGAUGGUUGGUUGGGGGAGGCCAGAAACCUGAGGAUUUCUCUACAAAAGUGCAAGAAUAUAACAACACUAAUAUGUGCGGGUUAGUGUGGACUGCUAACUUUGUUGCUUAUAGAUGCAGUACAUGUAGAAUAUCACAGUGUAUGUCUCUGUGCCGGGAUUGUUUCCACAGUGGGAAUCAUAUAGCUGAGGGGCAUGACUACAACAUGUUCAAGUCCCAGGCUGGAGGAGCUUGUGAUUGCGGUGAUGCAUCUGUGAUGAGAACAUCAGGGUUCUGCUCAAAGCAUGGUCGUUGUUCUGAUAAACAUGUUGCUGGUCCUCCUGAUGAAUUGCUAUGUGUAGCGGAGAAUAUGCUUCCUAAGCUUAUUCUCCGACUGGUUCAACAUCUUCGGGAGAAAAGUGUCAACUUAACGGAGAACCCGAACUCUCGGCAAAAUAUAUCGCUUGAGGACGCUGACGGGUUUCUUACUCUUCUUCAUGAUUUCUGUGAGAUGGGUUCAGCAAUGAGACACGUGAUUAUCGGCUGUCUUGUUAAUAGCAAAAUUUACACGAGUUUAACUCAAAACAUAUUAAAAGACGACUCCGAGUACGCAAACUAUAUGCGUAAAUCCUCGGAUAAAUAUAACGCGGCAGUUUCUGGAUUGCCUAGUCCUGAUCCAUCCAAGAAGUUCUGUGAGUGUCCUGCGCUUAACUCCAGUCUUGUUCAUACAACCUUCCUGGAGGAGUUACUCUUCUGGACCGUCAGAUACGAGUUUCCCCAGAAACUCGUAUGCUUGCUCCUAAACAUGCUUCCUGACCAGAAAUAUAAGGAGUUGUUUACCAGGGCCUUCGUCUUGCAUUACUCCAGGAUGUCCACCAUGUUGGACAAAUCCGGGAUAUCUGAGACCUUGUCCAACAGAGUUAUCCACGUCUCAGUCCAGCUGUUCAGCAACGAGGCUCUCACUCUACAGAUGACAGAGGAUCUUCAUCUUGUUCACAUCAUCGUGUUCUCCAUCAAGAACAUGAUGUCCACCGUGUUAACCCUGAACACCCUCGGGGACGUUCAGCAAAACUAUCACGAGAUUGUUGACUGUGGGGAGCAUGUUAUGAAGGAUCACUGCUACUGGCCGUUAGUAUCUGACCUCAACAAUGUUCUCUCUCACCCCUCCAUCGCCUACAAGUUUAUGGAGGAUGAGAAACAGCUCGCGAUGUGGUUUGAUUUCCUGCCCAUGUUCCAGGGGAUGAAUGUAAACAAUCGUGAGAUGAAAGCCCAUAUUGAGUUUGAACCGAAUACUUACUACGCGGCAUUUUCUGCUGAGUUAGAAGCUGCCUCCUCCCCCAUGUGGUCCCUUGUCUCCCACCUAAAGGACGCGUCCAGCAGGCAUCUUACAACCAACGUGAUUAAACACUGUCUUGGUGCAAUCAAAAACUGGUUUGAUGCAAUCUACUUCCUUCGUCCUGAUCAGUUAGACCGUCUCAAGAUGUCAUUUCAUCUUCCUCUCCAUCGAUACUUUGCAGUUUUUCUUAGACAGGCUGUUAAGUAUCAAGGAUUCUCUCUUGAUGAUCUGCUCCCUGACAAGGAAACCCUUCAUCUAAUGAUGAUGCAUCCCCUGGGAGUACAGGUUGCGUUCUACGAGAUCAUGAACCAUUUGUGGGUUAGAAACGGACUACAGAUUCGAGGACAAGCUAUGACGUACAUACAAUGUCACUUUUCCAACUCCAUGGCAGACCCAGAUAUAUUCCUUCUCCAGAUCUGUUCUACCCGCCUUGAUCCCUCUGUGUUCCUGAAAACUAUCCUGGAACGGUUUCAUGUUCGGCCCUGGCUCUCAUUGGCUGCGGAGAAGGAACCCGAACCUCUCAAUCUUGCAGAACAGGAGCAGGAGGGUCCUAUGAUGGAGUCAGCUCUGAUAUUCCUAGUUUCUCUUCUCACACUCAGAACCAACCUAGGACUCUCAGAGCAGGAUUUGACAAGGUUAGAAUUGGCGACUUUACUAUUUAUGGACGAUAGGACACAUUCGUCUUUAUCAGAACAAAUGCCGGAGAAAAACGGGAACGGAGUUCCGGACGAUUUCGAGUCGUUUCUCUCCGAAGUCGGAAGCUUUCGAGAACCACAGUUUGAACCUGGCGGUGUGAUGCAGCAGGGUUUAUAUGUACCUAAACCUGAGAUCUGGGAGACUAUGUAUGAUCCUAUAUAUGUUCUACUCAGAGCAGUACACAGGAGAGAGUUCCAGAACUCUCUGGACAGAUUCAUAGCUUACUCACAGAAGAACGGAAAGGUUAAUUCCGACUCCGGAGAGAAGAAUGGAACCCUGUGGCCUCCCUGGAGACUACCAACUGCCUGUGAUCCUAGCUUUACCGAUCCACGGACUAUUUUACACUCAAGGUUUGCUCAUGGACUAAUCUUCAACCUGCUGUACAAGGGAGUUUAUGGAGUUGGUUCUUCUGGUGAGAAGAAGGAGUGUAGUGAACAGAUACUAUCUUUAACCGUGUUCCUAUUGGAGCUCGCCCUUUCCUUCCCUCAGACUGAUUAUUCGGGCAAGGAAUUGGCAGUUUCUACCCCCUGGUUGAUAGUUCACGAACCUCUAGAUCUAGAUUAUGAGUCCUGGUUUCCAACUAACUGGUUGUCUGCCAACCUACGACAUACUGUGACCGCCCUGUUCACCAACCAUGUCUCCGACCCCAACACCAGUAUGGAGGUGGAUCAGGUGUCGGAUACAGGUUCAAACUCGGACAGUGAAACCACACCGUACUUUGUUGAAACUCCAACUAGCGACGUUCAUGACAGUUCAUCUCCACCCAGGUUACAAAGUAGUCAACACUCAGCUAUAACAAUGUCUCCUAGUAGUAGUAAUGCUCUUCUACCCUUCCCGUCAGGAACCAUGGAACACAUAACUAGUGUCGUCUUACAGUCAUCAAGAGCUAAAAACGAUGGAACUGUCGAUCUUUCAAGAGCUCUCCUUGAGCUCCCUAUGGAUGAGGAUGAAGAGGUUGGUGCACUAGGACUCAUACCCAGACCAGAUCCGGCCUUUCACAGCCAACAACAACUAUCAAGCAAUGCUCAUAGAUCGGUGGUCAAUAUUAAUGAAAGCAUCAUUAGUUUACUUGUUAAACUUCAUUCUAAAUUGUCUGGGAAACCGGACUCCUACACACCUAAACCAGAGCGUGGUAAAGUUCCCAGCCUUGCUCAUACGCUUACUCCGGAGUACGCAGAAUCUAGAAUCGGUGACGCAUGUUUUUUUGUUGAGAAAGUGUUAGAUAAAAUUUGUGAUCUAGAUUCAGCAUGUGAACAUUUUGUGAAACAUAUACGGGCUCAACUCUGGCCGGUUCAGCACGCCAAAGAUUCAAUGGAAGAUCUGGAACAAGAAAGAGACGAGAUUGAGGCUAGGAAGCGACGAGCCAAGGAGCGUCAAGCCAAGAUGAUGGAGGAUUUUGCUGAACGUCAGAAACGGUUUAUGCGGAAGAAUGAAGAGACCGAGGACAUCACUGAUAAAGAUUCUGAUCAUGAAACCUCGACAGUUUGCAAUGAAUACGAUUGUGUGCAUUGUCACCAGACUCAGGCUAGUACUCUAGAUAAACCUAUUGGCCUCGUUGUUCUCAUGCAAGCUACGUCAGUUUUAGGACACAAGCACAAUAAUAACGAGCAUCUCAGCCUACCCGUUCGGGAGGAAGAUCGUUCGAAGCUAGCGGUAGAUGAUAGUUUAUCAACUGAAUAUGAAUCCAGACUUGAAGAGUUGAUGAGACAUUUUGACCCUACGUCUUACCUUCUCUCCGUGAACUCUGGUUGGCAGGGCGGAGUAUCCGUCCAGUCCUGUGGACAUCAUGUACACCUUGACUGUCAGCAAAGCUACAUGGAAAGCUUGAAGAAUACUGCAAACUCCCAGGCAUCAUUAGUUCUAAUGGUGGAGAAGGGUGAGUAUAUGUGUCCCAUGUGCAGGCAGCUAGCCAACGGAGUUCUUCCUAUCCCACCAGACAAGGAGUUUCUAAAAGCUAAAUCACAAUGUCCUGUCUCGAUAGGUCGUGAGCUCACGGAUAUUUUAAAGAUGCCAACUAAACCUAUGAUAAAUCAAUCUAAUAUGUACAGUAUGAUGAAUCAGAUCAUGGAGAGUCUGACUAAAGCAACUUAUCCUCAGUAUCAUCAUCUGGAUUCUGUUCAUGCUAUUGUUAUGUUUGUCUCUAGUAUUGCAAGAACCAACCUGGAGCUGGAUCUAGUUUCCAGAGGAGGAACACUGCUCACAGCAAAAACCAUUCUAAACUCUCCACUCCCCUCCUCCUUCAGACCUAGGACGUGUUUCUUGCCUCUCCUUCAAGUUUUAGCAAUUCAUAUGAAAAUCAGGUUUCCUAAAUCAAUGGUCACGGAUUGGUGCCAAAUCACAGGACUCUGGCAGAAUGAGGAGGAGCGUAGUCUCAUGGUGCGCAAGAAUGAGGUUCCAAUCUUGUUAAAGGAUCCUUCAACCCUACUUCUUCAUUUCACACUGAUCCUCCCUCUUCAGAUGGAUAAAAUGUUCUUCGUCUCUAUUGUCCGUCAACUCUACAAUCUGUGUUGGAUGCAGGCUUGUCUCAAGGUUGCCUGUAGGCUUCCUCCAGAACUUAGAGCACAACUCCGGGAUGAAUGGAACAGGAAAGUGAGUCAAAAUGAGACACCGUCCUAUGUGAAGGUUGACACGGUUCUCCUGGGUAUAGGUUUAGUUUGCUCUGUUUUAGAAUUGUCUCGAAUAUUUGAUGACAAUGUCGAUGAUCCCCGACACAGUACAGCUACAAGGUUGAGUGCAGAUGUAUCACUCCAGGGUUAUGUACAAGCAGAGUGUCUGAACUACAUGAGAAUUGCGUCUCUACUUCGUCAUUAUCUAUACAACGACACGAUCCCGGAUAUCUGGGAGGAGGACUGGGAGUUUACACGGUUAGCACAGCACCUAGGAAUGGCAGAUAUAGAUAUCAGUGGACGUGUAUCCUCGGGGCCAUGUCUGGGUUGGUUAACUGCUCCAGCUAACCUGUGCUACACCUGGUGUAGAGAGAUUGGAGAGUUUGCCCAACUCUCGUAUCUUUCUGCUCGGAGACUCAUCCUUGUUAACAGCUCUUGGAAGCAACCACAACUACUAAGGCUUCCUAAAAACUACGAUUCAAUUUUCCAGUUCUACUAUAAGCGCGUGUGUCCGAACUGUAUGAAGGUUCCUAAGGAUCCUUCUAUCUGUCUACUCUGCGGAGCUAUGGUCUGUCUCAAGGAAAGCUGUUGUAAAUUCUUAGCUUCAGGUAAUUUUGAAGCCGUGAGACAUAGUGUUGAAUGUGGGGCGGGGACAGCACCCUACCUGGCGGUCAAUUCAGCAACUAUUGUUGUUAUCCGUGGGAAGCGAGCUUGUAUUUGGGGAUCUAUAUAUCUAGAUUCAUACGGAGAGGAGGACAGAGAACUCAAGAGAGGAAAGCCUCUAUUCCUUAGCGUGGAACGAUAUCAUUUCCUAGAAUCCCAAUGGUUAACUCAUAGGUUCGAUCAUACCAACCGGAAGUGGAUCUGGCACAGAGAGAAUCUGUAAAUAGGAAUCAGGAUUAAGUGAUGUCAACAUUUAGUGAUAAAAAUAGAUUUCCCUUCUUGGGAGAUCAAUCUGUAAAGGUUAGGGAAUAGUUUCUCGUUGGAGAAGAUUUAAAAUAUUUUUAGUCUUUUAACAUUUUCCUCAAUACUUUGGUAACUCACAGUUCCAUAUGAGUGAUGAAAUAAUUAGGACAUUUUUUAAAUACGUACAUUGUACUUGUAAACAGUACAUCGAACUACUGAACUAAUGACCCAGGCAGAUAUAACCACUUUUCUUGUUUCACUUAGUUACUUUUAAACACAUUGUCAGAAUAUUAAUUCUUGAAGAAUUUACAAUAGUUACGGGGGAGGGGGGCACUUGUUAUUCAUUCAUUUAUUCAUUCGUACAGAUACAGAUAAAUACGAGUCUGUGCAGUUUUACUUGAAUAAAAUAAAGUUUAUGUUUCGUUAUCAAUCAAAAUUUACAUAUUUUGUUCUUGAUAUUUUAUGCUUAACUUUGUUAUGUUGCUUUUAAAUAUGUUUUUUCUUCACAAUGUAAUAAUGAAUCUUUCUUUGUAUGUAAAAUCACUUAAGUUUCAUGUAAUAUUUAUAGGAGUCACUUUUCAUGCUUUAUCAUCUAUUCUUAUAAUUUGGUUUUGAAUUUAUAAAAAUUUUGGUUUAUUUUGCUUAUUUCGCUUUUUUUAAAUUCUGAUGAAUGAAAUCUCUAGUGAACAAGGAGAGCAGGGAGAUGAGUCUUGAAACCCAGUUUCUAAGAUAUCCGUCGAUACAACAUUACUCUGGAUUCUUUUAUGUCAUUUUAUAUUUAACAAGAAAUCACACUGCUUUAAACCAAAAACCUCACAAAUUUUUUGUAUAAAUAUCACCGUACAGAAAAUAAACUUAACUAUAGUGACAUUUUUUAUACACGACAGGUUUCCAGAACCGCUCCCUGUACUGCUGAUUUAUCAUAACAAAUUUGUGUAGAUUGACUGAUUUUAUUUCCCUUAUGUGUUACCCUGUUAUAUUGAUCGCCCAGGGCAUUCUAUGCUAUGCAUUAAUUAUUUAAAUAAAGUAGAUAAUCUAUAUAAUA
rnacentral:misc_RNA from 1 species